rnacentral:rRNA from 1 species
UGCAAGUCGAGCGAACAGACGAGGAGCUUGCUCCUCUGACGUUAGCGGCGGACGGGUGAGUAACACGUGGAUAACCUACCUAUAAGACUGGGAUAACUUCGGGAAACCGGAGCUAAUACCGGAUAACAUGUUGAACCGCAUGGUUCAACAGUGAAAGACGGUCUUGCUGUCACUUAUAGAUGGAUCCGCGCCGCAUUAGCUAGUUGGUAAGGUAACGGCUUACCAAGGCAACGAUGCGUAGCCGACCUGAGAGGGUGAUCGGCCACACUGGAACUGAGACACGGUCCAGACUCCUACGGGAGGCAGCAGUAGGGAAUCUUCCGCAAUGGGCGAAAGCCUGACGGAGCAACGCCGCGUGAGUGAAGAAGGUCUUCGGAUCGUAAAACUCUGUUAUUAGGGAAGAACAAAUGUGUAAGUAACUAUGCACGUCUUGACGGUACCUAAUCAGAAAGCCACGGCUAACUACGUGCCAGCAGCCGCGGUAAUACGUAGGUGGCAAGCGUUAUCCGGAAUUAUUGGGCGUAAAGCGCGCGUAGGCGGUUUUUUAAGUCUGAUGUGAAAGCCCACGGCUCAACCGUGGAGGGUCAUUGGAAACUGGAAAACUUGAGUGCAGAAGAGGAAAGUGGAAUUCCAUGUGUAGCGGUGAAAUGCGCAGAGAUAUGGAGGAACACCAGUGGCGAAGGCGACUUUCUGGUCUGUAACUGACGCUGAUGUGCGAAAGCGUGGGGAUCAAACAGGAUUAGAUACCCUGGUAGUCCACGCCGUAAACGAUGAGUGCUAAGUGUUAGGGGGUUUCCGCCCCUUAGUGCUGCAGCUAACGCAUUAAGCACUCCGCCUGGGGAGUACGACCGCAAGGUUGAAACUCAAACGAAUUGACGGGGACCCGCACAAGCGGUGGAGCAUGUGGUUUAAU